rnacentral:lncRNA from 1 species
CAUAGAAUGAAAAGGUCCAUUAAACACUGGUGACUCCAAUUUUUUCUGCGUUAUUUCUUGCCUGUUUAUAAGGAAAUAAUAGCAGAAAUGUCAGUAUGACCAAUAUUCUCAGAAAGGGUCUCUAAAUUCUGAGGAAAAUAGAUAGUUACAAGUGUCUCAAAUGAGAGUGAUGUGAAGGGACUUAAAAAAUCUUCGCUACUGGAGUCAUUAAGCUGUUGGGACAUCAUGAACACAAUGGAACCAUGAGAGGACUUCGAGAAAAGUUUCUGUUUUUAUGUAUGAUUAUGCUUUUUUCCUUCAAAUUUUGCUACUUUCUAGUUCCUGAAGAAGGCUAAUAACUUAAAUGGAUCUAAAUUAACAAAAGAGCAGUUUUUACAUAUUUUGAUGAAACUAUGGAUUCAAGAGUAAGAUACACUACCCUAGUGCAAGAGGUACUUUUAGCCUGUAAAAAUGCUUAGGUCCUAGCUAGUUUUGGUAUUCUGUCAAAAUACUGAGUACAUUUGAGAACUAUUUUAGAGGCCUUUUGUUUAAUUCUGUGGUUUAAAUGUGUAAAUUGGACCAACUUUAAGAAGUUUAAACACAUGGAUUAUCUGAAUUUCUAGUUUUCUAGUUGCUUUACUAU